ensembl:lncRNA
GUUUUAUAUUGAUUUCCGGCUUUAUAACUGUUCUAAUACUGGUUCAGAUCUGUUAUGAAAAGGACACGGCUAAAUGUAACCAGAUACCCCUUCUGUGCUUCUGUUUCAGAAAGAAAGAACUUGGACAAAUAGAGGACUCCAAUCAUUUUUAUCUCCUUCAAUCUAUAUUAUGUUAGAGCUGCUGUUUUAUGAAUGUUUCAGCUGCCUCAGAAAUAGAGUCUAAGUUAUGAGCUACUUGUAUUCUUAAUGAUAUCUUGUGUAUAAGGCUUGCUAAAGAUGCUUCACCUGAGAUGAAGAUUCACAGGAUUUUGGAAAGGUCUUUAGCCCUGUCUUGUCUCCUACCUGUGAAGGUUAGUAUCAGGCUACCACAACGUACUAAGGGAAAGCAGAAUCUGCUUCCCUGCUUGUCAUUGGAGCUAACCUUUUUCCUCUUUCCUUUUCCCUUUCCUUUCUUUUUCCACAAACACAGCUUUUGCACAAAUGCAGAGAUUUUUCUUGCUUUCAUCCUGCAGCAGUGGUACUUUGUGGACAAACCAGUCUCUGGUGACGGAGAUCACAGGUGGAGUGCUGCUGCAGUGGCUCCUGAAAACUUCAUCUUUCUUUGGAGCCUGCUUCACUUCUGGAUGUGAAUCAGAACUCUACCAUUUUCAUCAAUGAAUUGGAGGCAAGGUGAUGAAAAAGGCAGGAGCUGCAUUUGAAUGAGAGAUCGAUCACAGAGACUGAAAGUGACAGCCCUAUCACAUUUGUUUGUGGACUUUGGAGACAGACAGAAAGGAUGAGCAAUUGACAAGGAGGAUAUCAAAAGAAAGAAGUAUGUUGGCAUGAAAACCUGGUACCAAAAGGACAUUUACAUUCCCUGACUGGCAGAGAUGCGAAAUACAUUGCAAAUCAUUCAACUAAUUAAGAAGGGGUUCAUUUUCUUUUAAGUCCAGUAAGUGGGAGAAUAAUGCAAGCUCACCUGGUCUCUUCCUCACCUUCUGCAGCAGGAAUGGUGCUAUCCCCCCAAACAUGGAAAAGAAAACUAUGAAAGACAUGCCGUGUUGGAGUUUUCUUCUAAAUGCUUAACUUCAGAAUUUUGCUUAUCUGCUACUGAAGUGCUAAUUCACUGGGAACUCUCCAUAGUAGUAUCAGUCUUAUGUAUUUACCUAUGAAGUUCUUCUAACAGAUGAAUUGUUUACUCAUAAACCUUCAAUUUCCAAUUCACUUAUUUAAAGUGAGAUUCUUCUUACAGAAUAAAUUCUGGAUCAUGGCUUUAAUUUAAUUUAUUCCUAAGUAACACAGAGCAGAACUUCAUUUUAUAGAGGAUGGAAAAAAAUAUUAUACUGCAUUUCCAUCUACAAAUUUUACUUUGUAUUAUUACAACAGUUUAGGAACUUAUGAUAUAUACAGUUUAAUAUUUUCUAUAUUAAAGCAAUCUCACAUAAAAUAACCAUUGUUACUGUUUAUUUUCUUACUUCUUACAGUGAUUUCUAUUCCAAAAUUAAUGAAGAGGAACUUUGGGUUUUGGUUUGUUGGUUACUUUUUGUUUGUUUGGGUUUUAAGUUGAAUUGUGUAUAUUUAAUAAAUGAGCAUCUUCUCUUGUCACAUUCUUGGUUUUUUUAAAACCACUAUUUUGGUAUACAAUCCCGAUCCCAAAAAUUUAUGUUACAUUAACAUGGAUUGUAUUUAGUGGAAAUAAAAGAUGUGAAUCCAAAAUCUUGAUGUAUUUGACAACAUUUUUUGUGUCUUCUUGUAUGAAUGUGUAUAUUGUUAUAGAUUGUUCUUCAUCUUCCCGUAAGGGAUAAACCAGAAGCAAUUAUAAUUUAAUAGCAUUCUGUAUGCUAAGAAUAUGUGGUGACACAUAAUGGAGUCCAAUAUACCUAUCUGAUUACAAGUUGCUCUUUAGACAUAGGACAAAUAACUACAAGAUGG